rnacentral:rRNA from 1 species
UAAAUAAGUGUUUAUAUAAUUAAUAAAAGAUAAGAUAAAUAAUUUUGUAGGUGUAUUUAUAUAUAUAUAUAUUAAAUAAAAUAUUAUUAAUAUUAAAAGAUUUAGUAGUGAAAGAAAAAAUUAUAUUAAUUUAUAUUAUUAGUAUUGUAAAAGAAUUCAUUAUUUAAUUAAAAGAAGUAAUUAAAUUGUGUACCUUUUGUAUCAGGGUUUAUUAAAAUUAAAAAAUAUAUAUUUUUUUCUCGAAACUAACAGAUUUAAUUAAUUAUGUAAUUUAAUGUGGUAAUAUUAUAAAUAAUAGUUAAUUGGAAAUGAAAUGUUUGUCGAAGUUAGUAUAUCUAGUUAUUUUAUAAAUGAAUUUAAUUCAGGUUAUAUUUUUGACGAAGUUAAUUUAAUUAAUUUAAAUUUAAGUAUAACUAAGAAUUUAAGGGAUAAGCUUUAAAUUUUUUUUAAAAUGGAGUAAAUUAGAGUUUUAUAUAUAUAGAUUAAUUAAAAAUAUAAAAUUAUAUUUUUAGUAUUAAUUAUAAAAUAAAAUUUAAAUAAAUUAUAAAUAUAAUUUAUUAAAGAAUUUAGUAAUUUAUAAAAUUAAAAAUUUAAAUAAUUUAAAUUUUGAAAUAAUGAUAAAAUUAGUAAAAUAAUAAUUUAAAAUAGUAUUGAUUGUAUUGCUAGGUUAAAUUAAGGAAUUAGGCAAAAAUUUUAUUCGCCUGUUUAGUAAAAACAUGGUUUAUUGAAAAUAAUUUUAAAUCUAAUCUGCUUAAUGAUUAAUUAAAUAGCUGCAGUAUUUUGACUGUACAAAGGUAGCAAAAUCAAUUGGCUUUUUAUUGAAGUCGGGUAUGAAGGAUUGAACGAGAUAAAAACUGUCUCAAUUUAAUUGGUAGUUGAAUUUUAUUUUAAGUAAGAAUUCUUAAAUGUAGUUAAAAGACGAGAAGACCCUAUAGAAUUUUAUAAUUAGUACAAUAUUAUUAAUUUAUAUAUUUUUGAGAUAUAUUAUUAAUUAUUUAAUUGGGGAUAAUUUAAAAAUUUAAAAAAUUUUUUAAUCAAAAAAAUUAAAAAUUAUUAAUAAUUAAUUAUAUAUAUAUAUAUAUAUAUAUAUUUAAUCAUAGAUCUAUGAUUGUUUUAUUAAAAUCCAUUAUUAAUGAAAUUAAAUAAAAUUACCUUAGGGAUAACAGCGUAAUUUUUUUGGAGAGGAUAUUGAUAAAAAAGGUUGCGACCUCGAUGUUGAAUUAAGUUAAAUAGUUAAUAGAAAGAUUAAUUAAAUUAAGUCUGUUCGACUUUUAAAAACUUACAUGAUUUGAGUUUAAAACGGUGUGAGCCAGUUUGGAUUCUAUCUUUAAUUAAUUAAAAUAGUUUUGUACGAAAGGACUUGCUUUUUUUACAAUUGUAAAAAUUUAUGAAUAUAAAUUA